GUCAGGGUAGCAUAGUGGUUUGAACACUGGACUAUAACUCUGGAGGCCAGGGUUUGAUUCCCAACUUAGACA